CUCCUACGGGAGGCAGCAGUGAGGAAUAUUGGUCAAUGGUCGAGAGACUGAACCAGCCAAGUCGCGUGAGGGAAGACUGCCCUAUGGGUUGUAAACCUCUUUUCUACUGGGAGAAUAAGCCCUAUGUAUAGGGUGAUGACAGUACAGUAGGAAUAAGCAUCGGCUAACUCCGUGCCAGCAGCCGCGGUAAUACGGAGGAUGCGAGCGUUAUCCGGAUUUAUUGGGUUUAAAGGGUGCGUAGGCGGCUUUAUAAGUUAGUGGUAAAAUUUCGGAGCUUCACUCCGGUCCGCCAUUAAAACUGUAGAGCUAGAGAAUGGACGAGGUAGGCGGAAUAAGUUAAGUAGCGGUGAAAUGCAUAGAUAUAACUUAGAACUCCGAUAGCGAAGGCAGCUUACCAGGCCAUAACUGACGCUGAUGCACGAGAGCGUGGGUAGCGAACAGGAUUAGAUACCCUGGUAGUCCACGCCGUAAACGAUGCUCACCGGCCCUUAGCGAUAAGACAGUUAGGGGUUAAUUGAAAGAAUUAAGUGAGCCACCUGGGGAGUACGUCGGCAACGAUGAAACUCAAAGGAAUUGACGGGGGCCCGCACAAGCGGAGGAACAUGUGGUUUAAUUCGAUGAUACGCGAGGAACCUUACCUGGGUUUAAAUGUAUGUUGCAUAAGCUGGAAACAGUUUUUCUCUUCGGAGCUAUAUACAAGGUGCUGCAUGGUUGUCGUCAGCUCGUGCCGUGAGGUGUCGGGUUAAGUCCCAUAACGAGCGCAACCCUUACCGUUAGUUGCUAACAUAUAAUGAUGAGCACUCUAGCGGGACUGCCACCGUAAGGUGAGAGGAAGGGGGGGAUGACGUCAAAUCAGCACGGCCCUUACAUCCAGGGCGACACACGUGUUACAAUGGCCAUAACAGCGGGUAGCUACCGGGCGACCGGAUGCAAAUCUCGAAAAUUGGUCUAAGUUCGGAUUGGAGUCUGCAACCCGACUCCAUGAAGUUGGAUUCGCUAGUAAUCGCGCAUCAGCCAUGGCGCGGUGAAUACGUUCCCGGGCCUUGUACACACCGC
rnacentral:rRNA from 1 species